GGGGGAAUAGCUCAGUGGUAGAGCUCUUGCAUUGCAUAUUAGAGGUUCUAGGUUCAAUCCCUAGCACAACCU
rnacentral:tRNA from 1 species